rnacentral:rRNA from 1 species
GAUGAACGCUGGCGGCGUGCCUAAUACAUGCAAGUCGAGCGAAGCGGGGACGGGUGAGUAACACGUGGAGAACCUCCUUUAAGACUGGGAUAACUUCGGGAAACCGGAGCUAAACCGGAAUCUGUUAGAUGUAUCCGCGCUGCAGUAGCUAGUUGGUAAGGUAACGGCUUACCAAGGCAACGAUGCAUAGCAGACCUGAGCGGGUGGUCAGCCACACUGGAACUGAGACACGGUCCAGACUCCUACGUGAGGCAGCAGUAGGGAAGCUUCCGCAAUGGGCGAAAGCCUGAUGGAGCAACGCCGCGUGAGUGAUGAAGGUCUUCGGAUCGUAAAACUCUUUUAGUAGGGAAGCGGUACCUAAACAGAAAGCCACGGCUAACUCCGUGCCAGCAGCCGCGGUAAUUC